GGGGCUAUAGUUCAAUGGCUAGAAUAACGGUCUCCAAAACCGUUGAUCGAGGUUCGAAUCCUCGUGGCCCCG
rnacentral:tRNA from 1 species